rnacentral:rRNA from 1 species
CCCUUAGAUGUUCUGGGCUGCACGCGCGCUACACUGAAGCGUUCAACGAGUAUUCACCUUGCCCGGGAGGGUUGGGUAAUCUUUUGAAAACGCUUCGUGAUGGGGAUAGAUUAUUGCAAUUAUUAAUCUUCAACGAGGAAUUCCUAGUAAGCGCGAGUCAUCAGCUCGUGCUGAUUACGUCCCUGCCCUUUGUACACACCGCCCGUCGCUCCUACCGAUUGAAUGAUCCGGUGAAUAAUUCGGACUGCAGCACUGCUUGGUCUCCAGGCUUUGCAGCGGAAAGUUUAGUGAACCUUAUCACUUAGAGGAAGGAGAAGUCGUAACA